AAUGGUGGAAGAUAAAACAUUUAUUUUCACAUUUUCAAAAUGAAGUAUCUUGAGCUUGGCUUGUCUGCUUUCUGUCUUCAGAGGUAGUGAAAUGCAAUCACUCCAGAAACUACAUGACAAAGGCUGAGCUAUUUAACUUCAGGUUUUCAGGUACCACAGAUAAAUGCAGACUUAAAACUCAUUGCUUUACAAGACACUUAAUAAGAGAAAAAUUUCCCCAUCUUGUAAGAUUUGGAAAAGCUGUCUUCCUUUGCCUAAUGGAGAUUCCUAAUGUAGGACAUCAAGACUCUGAGAAGUAAUACAGUAAGAGAACCAUUACAACUUUUUGGGACCCAGAAUGCCAAAAUAUACCAAAUGCUUUGGUAAUGUAGACCCUUUUCAUGAAACAACUAUGGAUAUUCCACGAACUUAGUAUGUCUUUUUGUACAGAUUAGAAAGAGUUAGUAUAGAACAAUGUAAACAUACACAAAAGAUGACUUGUAAUGUUUUAUUGUUUUUAAUUUUAAAAUUCAGAAUCUUGAUUUAUAAAAUGGUUAUCUCACACUUUUCAAAGAUUGCAUCUCACAUCUACUCACUUGACCUCAGCUCAAGACAUGCUCACUUAUUUAGUAUCAGUGACAAUACCCAUCUGUUGCAUAAUGGUUUGUGAUACAUAUCCUGAUUAUUUUCUAGAAUGCAUUUUCUCUGUUGUCUGUAUUUAGAAGUUUCUGCUUAUCAUUUCUUCAGUGAACACUUAAGUCAGUUAAAAUAAGUUCCUCUAUUGAGGGCCCCAUACAUGCCAGUAUCUGCUAGCAGGUGUAUAAAUUGGUGCACCUGUUUUAUAAAAUUGUUUGCUAAUAUCUACUAAAGCUAAACAUAUAUAAACUCAUGACCUACCAAUACUAAAAUUGAAUAUACUCUUAACAGAAAUGAGUGCCUAUGGCUCUAAAAGACAAGAAAAAGAAUAGAGCAGCAGGAACUCAGCACUAUCUGCCUGGAGAUAGAGACCUGUUUAUUGGUGGCCAUGGCCCUCAAACACCAGUAGCUUUGGCACAUAGGUCUAUCUUCUGGAAUGACCAGGCAUCCCUACAUAGGCCAGAGUCUUCCUGUACAGGCACAGGGCCCUAAGGCUGCACAGCUGCCUGUGUUCCAGUCUGCAGUUGUGUUAAAAUCAAGACAUUGAGUGUGCUUCUGCUAAGGCAGUGGUUCUCGUAAUUUUUGCAGACGUCGAUAUCACUUGAAGAGCUUGUUAAACUGCAGAUCAAUGAGUCCUGCAACCAGCAGCCCUGAUAUUUACAUUGGAGGCAUAUAUGCUGCUGGUCCAGGAGCCACACUUUGGGAAUUAUGGCAUUAAACAGUGUGGUUGCGUACUUACUGCUUACAUUUAAUUAUAAAUGGUGACCCAUCUUCCCAAUUUAGUUCCAGAAGAACAGUAUUUAUCCAUUAAAUAUUGUAGUGCAUGAUUUAUGACAGUUGUAGAAUGAACAAAUAACAUGGUUCUGUCACAAAUUCCUGCAAGCUGGUUACUGAUGUGCUUUUAGCAAUCCACUCCACCCUCCCCAUGGCUGGAGCUACCAGGCUACAUAACUCUGGCUGCAAGCACCACUUCCAUUUACCCCCUGUGCCAUAGAAAUACUGCCAUUUUCCAUGUGUGUCAUAGUGGGGAAAAUUUAGAAAGAUUGUGUUAAAUAAUCAACAUUGUUAUCUCAUCAUCACUGGUCAUUAGAGAAAUGCAAAUCAAAACCACUAUUCACAAUAGCAAAGACUUGAAACCAAACUAAAUGCCUAUCAAUGUUAGACUGGAUAAAG
rnacentral:lncRNA from 1 species